GUCAUGUUCUCACUUAACUCUAUUAAGACACAAUCUGUAUAUGUAUCUGCAGGGCCUGAGUAAAAGUGGCAGUAUGGACUGUUUAUUCAAUAGUUUAUCUUUAGUUCAUUUUGCCUAACUAAAAGAAAUAUUAACUUCACGUAAACAGAACCUUUUUUGUUUUCAGCUUGAGAAAAAAGAUUUUUUUUUUAAAUGCUAUCUUCAACUACUUUUUAAGUAAACAGAAUGUUAGAUUGUUAAGUGAGGGACCAA